rnacentral:rRNA from 1 species
UACAGAGGUCCCAAGCGUUGUUCGGAUUCACUGGGCGUAAAGGGUGCGUAGGUGGUGAGGUAAGUCGGAUGUGAAAGCUCGGAGCUCAACUCCGAAAUGGCAUUGGAAACUACCUUGCUGGAGGUUUGGAGGGGGGACUGGAAUACUUGGUGUAGCAGUGAAAUGCGUAGAUAUCAAGUGGAACACCAGUGGCGAAGGCGAGUCCCUGGACAAAACCUGACACUGAGGCACGAAAGCUAGGGGAGCAAACAGG